AACUUUACAUAAGGGACUUGAAGAUCACCUGAUUUUGGUAUCCUCAGGGGUCGUGGAAGUAAUCCCUCCAAUACUGAGGGAUGACUGUACUGCCUAGAUAUACCAGAAAAGGAGAUGAUUCGAGUCCUGGGCAAAAUAGCAUGGGACUGGCCGGGUACAGUGGCUCACACCUGUAAUCCUAGCACUUUGGGAGGCCAAGAUAUACUGGCUGUUAUAACCUUCACACUGAGCCCACCAUCCUGGGAGCAGAAAAGAGUCUGGUUCAAGGAGUAUGUGUACAUGGGUCAACUGCAUGUUGCAGGAGUUUGGUGUACAGUUAAUUUUGUCCCCAGGUAAUCAGCAUAGUACCCAACAGGCAGUUAUUCAAUCUUCAUCCUCUUCCCAACCUCCACCCAUAAGCCCGUGUCUACUGUUCCCUUCUUUGAGUCCAUGUGUAAUCAAUGUUUAGCUCCCACUUAUAAGUGAGAACAUGGGAUAUUUCAUUUUCUGUUCCUGCAUUAAUUCACUUAGGAUAAGAGCCUCAGCUCCAUCUAUGUUGCUGUAAAGGACACAGUCUUGUUCUUUUUUAUGGCUGCAUAGUAUUCCAUGGUGUAUAUGUACCAAAUUUUCUUUAUCUGGUCUACUGCUGAUGGGCAUUUACGUUGAUUCCACAUCUUUGCUAUUGAGAAUAGUGCUGCAAUGAACAUACAAGUGUUUGUCUUUAUGGUGGAAUGAUUAUAUUCCUUUAGGUAUACACCCAGUAAUGGGAUGCUGGGUUGAAUGCUAUGUUCUUUUAUGUCUUUGAGAAAUCGCUGCAGUGCUUUCCACAAUGGCUGAAUUAAUUUACAUUCCCACCAGCAGUGUAUAAGUAUUUGCUUUUCUCUGCAGCCUCACUAGCAUCUAUGUUUUGAUUUUUUAAUAAUACCCAUUCUGAUAAUACCCAUUCAGACAGGUCUGAGAUGGUAUCUCAUUGUGGCUUUGAUUGCAUUUCCUUAAUGAUUAGCGAUAUUAACCAUUUUUUUCAUAUGCUUAUUGCCACAUGUAUGUAUUCUUUUGAGAAAGGUCUAUUCAUGGCCUUUGCCCAGUUUUUAAUGGGGUUGUUUUUCUCAUUGUUGAUUUGUUUGAGUUCUUUAUAGAUUCUGGAUUAGAUCUUUGUCAGAUGCAGUUUGUAAACAUUUUCUCCCAUUCUGUAGUCUGCAAAUAGCUUCUUUUGCUGUGCAGAAGUUAUUUAGUUUAAUUAGGUCCCACUUGUCAAUUUUUGUUUUUGUUGCAAUUGCUUUGGGGUGUUCAUCAUUAAGUCUUUUCCAGCACUUAUGUCCAGAAUGGCAUUUCCUGGGUUUUCUUCUAGGAAUUUAAUACUUUUAGGUUUUAUAUUUAAGUCUUUAAUCCAUCUUGAGUUGAUUUUUGUAUAUCGUGAAGGAUAGGGGUCCAGUUUCAAUAUCCUGCAUAUGGCUAGCCAGUUAUGCCAGCACCACUUAUUGAAUGAAGUUCUUACUUCAUUGCUUGUCAGUUUUGUUGAGGAUCACAUGGUUGUAGGUAUAUGCCUUUAUUUCUGGGUUCUCUUACCUAUUCCAUUGAUCUAUGUGUCUUUUUUUAUACCAGUACCAUGCUGUUUUAGUUGCUGUAGCCUUGUAGUAUGGUUUAAAGUUGGGUAGUGUGAUACCUCAAACAUUGCUCUUUUUGCUUAGGAUUGCUUUUGCUAUUUAGGUUGGGCUUUUCUGGUUCCAAAUAAAUUUCAGAAUGUUUUCUUCUGAUUCUGUGAAAAAUGCCAUUGGUAGUUUGAUAGAAAUAGCAUUGGCUCUGUAAAUUGCUUUGGGCAGUAUUUUAACAAUACUGAUUCUUCCUAUCCAUGAGCAUGAGAUAUUUUUCAAUUUUUAUUGUUUCUGAUUUCUUUGUGCACUGCUUUGUAAUUCUCAUUGUAGAAAUCUUUCACUUACCUGGUUGGCUGUAUUCCUAGGUAUUUUAUACUUUUUGUGGCUACUGUGAAUGGGAUUCCAUUCUUGAUUUGGUUCAUAGCUUGGACAUUACUGGUGUAUAGAAAUGCAACUAAUUUUUGUACACAGAUUUUGUAUCCUGAAACUUUUUUGAAGUUGUUUAUCAGAUCUAGGAGCCUUUGGGCAGAGACAACAGGUUUUCUAAAUACAGAAUUAUAUCUUCUGCAAGAGAAACUGACUUCCCCUCUUCCUAUUUAUAUAUGCCUUUCAUAUCUUUAUCUUGCCUGAUCACUAAGCUUAGGACUUCCAGUACUAUGUUGAAUCGGAGUGGUGAGAGUGGUCAUCCCUGUCAUUUUCCAGUUCUCAAGGGGAAUGCUUCCAGCUUUUGCUUGUUCAGUAUUAAUUUGGCUGUGAGUCCAGCAUAGAUGGUUCUUAUUGAAGUAUGUUCCCUCAAUGUGUAAUUUGUUGAGGGUUUUUAAAAUGAAGGGAUGUUGAAUUUUAUUAAAAACCUUUCUGCAUCUAAAGAGAUGAUCAUGGUCAUGUGGUUUUUGUUUUUAGUUCUGUGUAUGUGAUAAAUCACAUUUAUUGAUUUGUGUAUACUGAACCAACCUUGCAGCCCAACACUAAAGCCUGCUUGAUAAUGUUGGAUUAGCUUUUUGAUGUGCAGAUGGAUUUGGUUUACUAGUAUUUUGCUGAGGAUUUUGGCACCUAUAUUCGUCAGGAGUACCAGCCUGAAGUUUUCUUUUUUCAUUGUGCCUGUCAGGUUUUGGUAUUAGAAUGAUGCUGGCCUCAUAGAAUCAGAUAGGGAGGAGUCCCUCUGCAUCCAUGUUUUUGAACAGUUUCAGUAAGAUUGGUAACAGCUUUUCUUUAUACAUCUCGUAGGCUUCAACUAUAAAUCUGUCUGGUCCAGAGUUUUGUUUGAUAGAUUUUUAAUUAGUGAUUAAAUUUUGGAACUCAUUAUUGGUCUGUUCAGGGAUGCAAUUUCUUCUUGGUUCAAUCUUGGGGGGUUAUAUCUUUCAAGGAAUUUAUUAAUUUUUUCUAGGUUUUCUAGUUUGUGUGCAUACAGGUGUUUAUAGUAAUCUUUGAGGGUUUUUCGUAUUUCUGUGGGGUUGGUGGUAAUGUCCCCUUUGUCAUUUCUGAUUGUGUUUUUUAGAUCUCCUUUUGCAAGGUGUGAAAUUUUUUUGAAGACUUUUCCACACAUUUAUUAUAAUUGUGAAGUCUCUCCAGUAUAAAUUCUCUAAUGAGUUAUUAGAAAAACUUGUGUUUGAAGACCUUGUCAUAUUCUUUACAUUUGCAAAAUUUCUUUGCAGUAUGGAAUAAAAGAUGGGUAGUAAGGCUUGAGUGCACACUAAAUUCUUUGACGCAUUUGUUGCAUUUGUAGUUUCUAUCCCAUAUGAAUUGUCCAAUGUUGUGCUAGGUAUGAAAUGCGACUAAAGGCCUUGCCACACUCAUUACAUUUGUAAGGUUUCUCUCCAGUAUGAAUUUUCCGAUGUCGUGCAAGGUGUGCAAUUCGAUUGAAGACCUUGCCACAUUCAUUACAUUUGUAAGGUCUUUCUCCAGUAUGGAUUCUCUGAUGAUUGGUUAGUGAUAACUUGUGUCUGAAUGCCUUGCCACAUUCACUACAUUUGUAAGGCUUCUCUCCAGUGUGGAUUACAAGAUGGGCUGAAAGGCCUGAAUACUCACUAAAUGCUUUACCACAUUCAUUACAUUUGUAAGGCUUCUCUCCAGUAUGAAUUCUUCGAUGUCGUGCAAGAUUUGAAAGUUGAUUAAAUACUUUUCCACAUUCAUUACAUUUGUAAGGUUUCUCUCCUGUAUGAAUUCUCCAAUGUUGUGCUAGGUGCGAAUUUUGAAUAAAGACCUUUCCACAUUCAUUACAUUUGUAAGGUUUCUCUCCAGUAUGAAUUUUCUGAUGUCGUACAAGGAGCGCAAUCCUAUAGAAGGCCUUGCCACAUUCAUCACAUUUGUAAGGCUUCUCUCCAGUAUAAAUUCUCCAAUGAUUUGCUAGAGAUGACUUAUGACUGAAGCCUUUACCACAUUCAUUACAUUUGUAAGGUUUCUCUUCAGCAUGAAUUCUUUGAUGUCGUGCAAGGUAAGAAUUAUUACUGAAGACUUUACCACAUUCAUUACAUUCAUACGGCUUCUCUCUGGUAUGAAUUCUUUGAUGUCGUGCAAAGUUUGAAUUGUAACUAAAAACCUUGCCACAGACAUUACAUUUGUAAGGUUUCUCUCCAGUAUGAAUUCUACAAUGUUCUGCAAGGUGUGAAUUGCGACUAAAGACCUUGCCGCAUGAAUUACAUUUGUAAGGUUUCUCUACAGUAUGGAUUACUUGAUGUUUAGUAAGGCUGGAAGAUACUCUAAAGACUUUGCUAUGCUCAUUACAUUCAUAAGGUUUUUCUCUAAGGUGUACUUUCU
rnacentral:lncRNA from 1 species